AGGGAAUCUUCCGCAAUGGGCGAAAGCCUGACGGAGCAACGCCGCGUGAGUGAAGAAGGUUUUCGGAUUGUAAAACUCUGUUGUCAGGGAAGAACGCUCAUCAUUUAAAUAAGGUGAUGAAUUGACGGUACCUGACGAGAAAGCCCCGGCUAACUACGUGCCAGCAGCCGCGGUAAUACGUAGGGGGCAAGCGUUGUCCGGAAUUAUUGGGCGUAAAGCGCGCGCAGGCGGCCUUUUAAGUCUGAUGUGAAAGCCCACGGCUCAACCGUGGAGGGUCAUUGGAAACUGGGAGGCUUGAGUGCAGGAGAGGGAAGCGGAAUUCCUGGUGUAGCGGUGAAAUGCGUAGAUAUCAGGAGGAACACCAGUGGCGAAGGCGGCUUUCUGGCCUGUAACUGACGCUGAGGCGCGAAAGCGUGGGGAGCAAAC
rnacentral:rRNA from 1 species